GACGAACGCUGGCGGCGUGCCUAAUACAUGCAAGUCGAACGCAGUGGCGGACGGGUGAGUAACACGUGGGUAACCUACCCAUCAGAGGGGGAUAACACUUGGAAACAGGUGCUAAUACCGCAUACUGAAGGAGGGGAUUGCGUCCUAUCAGCUUGUUGGUGGGGUAGUGGCCUACCAAGGCGACGACGGGUAGCCGGCCUGAGAGGGGGACCGGCCACAUUGGGACUGAGAUACGGCCCAAACUCCUACGGGAGGCAGCAGUGGGGAAUAUUGCACAAUGGGGGAAACCCUGAUGCAGCAACGCCGCGUGCGGGAUGACGGCCUUCGGGUUGUAAACCGCUUUCAGCCAUGACGCGGUAGUGGCAGAAGAAGCACCGGCUAACUACGUGCCAGCAGCCGCGGUAAUUC
rnacentral:rRNA from 1 species